rnacentral:rRNA from 1 species
UACGAAGGGGGCGAGCGUUGUUCGGAAUUACUGGGCGUAAAGGGCGCGUAGGCGGCGAUCCUAGUCAGAUGUGAAAGUCCUGGGCUUAACCUGGGGACUGCAUUUGAUACUGGAUUGCUUGAAUUCGGGAGAGGAUAGCGGAAUUCCCAGUGUAGAGGUGAAAUUCGUAGAUAUUGGGAAGAACACCGGUGGCGAAGGCGGCUAUCUGGACCGACAUUGACGCUGAGGCGCGAAAGCGUGGGGAGCAAGCAGG